rnacentral:ncRNA from 1 species
GAAAAUCCUAAGAAAGGAAAAGUAAAUUUAAAAUUAGCCUCAGCAAACUGGAGUAGCUGUGAGUCCAGAGCUAAGAUUAAAUUGAAGCGCAUCCUGGAGGAGCUUUACUAAAAUUAUGAUUUGUCAUAUUAGGUAAAGACAUUUAAGCUGUGUUAAAGCGUUGAGUGGACUUUUGUCAAAAAAGAGUGGUACCACGGGUUAUAUCUCGUCUCUAAU